AAUAACCAGAGAAGAGAGAGUGGAUAUGAAGUACAGAAGGGAUAACCAGAGAACCCGAGAAGAGAGAGAGAUAUGAAGUACAGAAAAGAUAGAGAUGAGAAUGAUGAAAAAUCAAUUUUCUUAAUGAAGAUGAAGAAAUCAUUGUUGAUGAAAAUGAUAUUUCUCAUGCUGAUGAAAAUACCGAUUCAGACCACGAUGAGGGUAACCACAAAAAGGUACUGUUUUGGCUUUGGUUUCCUUCGCCCCAAUACUAUGGUUGAAUUACGAAUUCAUGUAUAUGUUCCGACGAAUUCAAGACAAUGUAAGUUAUUCGAACUGAUAUCAAGUUGAUUUAUGUUUUCCAAGUUCAUUUAACUGUGUAGAGCAUUAUGUGUUCGUGGAAAUGCCUAAGAAAAAUUAAUACUUAAAUUUUCUAUUGUAGAGUUAAUCAAAAAGCUAAUGUUUAUGUUCAAGGAAGUUUGUUUUCAGUUUUUAUUUCAAUUGUCACUAGACUAGGUGAACAUUGAACUCUGCAAUAGUUAGUGCUGACUUUCAAGCAUUGCCGGUCUAAGAAUAUCAUAAUGCACAUGACAGAAAAAGAGAUCUGAGAGCAGUUCUGGAUGGGUCUCAUUUAGAAAAAUUCUUACUACAAUCCAUUAUUAUUAAUUGGACUAAACUGAAAGAAAUUAUAAAAUGCAUAAAGUUUAAAAAGGGGAUCAGAUGGCAAACUUACCCUUGAGUCUUGAUGUUUCUUUUGACGUGAUAUUUUGGCAUUGAGUCGUCUAUGCGUGUAGCAUAUUUUUACUGUUGCAAUUCUAAUUCUGAUUGAUACAGAUGAAAGACAAUGUAAAACGUCCUGUGUGGAGCUGAUACUUUAGCAUCUAUAGAUCUCGGUUACAUUUAAGUGUACAUAUCUCUUAUUAUACCUUUUCUUCUUUGAGUCUGGUCAUGCUUCUUCACUGUUCCCAGUUUAUGAUCACUGUCAUGUACCCUGACUUGAAUCUAAGGGAUGUUAGAAUCCUCUACAUGGAUGGAGCAAAAAAGUUACAAUUAUCAUGUGAUCAAAUUCACCAUUGCAAUGACUAAAAGAUGCAAGAUAGAUGCCUUCACUUGAUUAGUAGUUCUUCAAGCCCUUACGCGGGCUCCCUGGGAAUUUUUGGGUAACCAGAUCAAACUCCACCUUUUCAUAUAAAGCUUUGAACGCAAAUGAAAAAUUAUUAGUAUUGAUUUUUUUUUACGUGUUCUGUGAGCCUUUUGUUUACUUUGUUUUGUGCGAGCAAAUAGUUAGAAGAGUCUCGAUGCGGUAGAGAACAUAAAUGUGUUAAAAGUGUUAAAGUGAUUCUGAAGAUGCUCCAAGAAAGGGUCUGAAGCUAAAUUUAAGGCUAGGCUACUGCUUUGUUAAGGUUAGUUUCGUUUGAAUUUUGGCGAAGACAUACACUGUCUAUGCUCGCACUUAAAUCGUGUUGCAAGAGUUAACAAAUUAAGGUAUUAUAUGUGGGUACGGUAGUGUGCUCCACAGUGGUCAACGACAGUCUCGGAAUUGCUUUGGACAACAAAAGACAGGGUUGAAUGUGUAACAAGUCGGACACAUUCCACUUGACUGGGCAUUAAAGACCAAGGCAUCUAAGGCGCGGGAAUUACCGAAAAAGAAGAAAGCUGCAGCUUUGGCCAAGAAACACGCUUUGUUGUGGAAGCGCUACUGUACUUCAGCCAAUAGGAUGAUUUUCUUUUGAAGCGGACCUAAUGAUGAGUGUAUAGAUGAAGAAGUGAUGGGUAUGAAACUCAACUUUUUGCAGGAGAUUUAAUCCUCUUGCUCAUCAUGUAAUUCUCUGAUCUUUUUUGAUAGUAUAGUGUGCAUUAUGUAAUGCGAUCGUUUAUUACGGCGGUAACUAUUAUUUUUUGUGUCCUAUAUUGUUUGGCUCAUUAUUUGAAUGUUUUCAAGCAUUUGAUCUCCUUGGUAAUUCUUAUUGUAUUGUGG